rnacentral:pre_miRNA from 1 species
CACAUACUCUCUCUGUCCCAUAUUAAGUGACUUUCUAUUAUAUGUAUCUAAACGUUUUUUAGUUAUAGAUACAUCCGUAUUUGAGCACAUUUGAAUCACUUAAUUUGGAACGGAGGGAGUAUAUA